CAAACUCAGGCAGGAUGUCAUCCAGCACACCUGUCCUACCUGGAGAAGGGAGAAGAUCAGACAUGAACAGCAGCAGCGAGAGGCAGGACUGCACUGGAGGCCCUGGCAUCCUCGGGCCCCUGAAACCCCCUUUGUUGCUAUGGAAACGGCUUAAGAAGUGGCUUAUAUUGCUCAUGUUGAUAACGGCCAGUUAUUUACUCUUUGUCUGGCAUGAGGCGUCUGACUUUGCUUUGUCCAGUUGACACACAAAUAACUUAUUCUGUUAGAGUCUGUUCCACAGCACCAAGCAUAUUGUUUCUCUCCCCAGUGAUCCUGUCCAGGAUGUGUGAAAUAUGUGAGGUUGUCUUGAUAUGCUGGGGCACAAAUGAACAAUAGCGUCUCUUAUUAAGGAUCUGAGCCCUGUCGAGAGGCAUGCGCCGUUUGCUCGUCACUAUGGUAGCACUUGUCAUCAGAAAUGAUCACCUUACAGAAAUACACACCGCUGUCGCCCCACUGCAGCUGUCCAAUGUGCAGAUCUGCUUCUGAAAUGCCAAUGACGGUUCUACAUGUUAACUCAGACAAACUCCCUCGGACAUGAGCACAAAGAGAAGCGACAUGUGGAAUAUACCAAACAAACUAGCCUGACAGAUGCUCAUCGAGAUCCUGAUGCUGCCCAGCGUCAACCAUCGGCUUGGUGUGUCCUAUAAACUUAUAUAUAAUAGUGCCCUGCCACAAACAAUAAACUUUCAUAUAAAUGCACAGUACCCUUUCAUCUAUAAAAAAAGAAAAACAUUUAGAUCAAUUGCCACACUAAUUGUGAAUGGUGCAAAUACUGAACAUAAAAUAAUGCAUCACACUGUAAAAUUUAAAUACUCCCAUGCCAUAUUUUUACAUCUGAAACGAAAACUUCUGCAACUGCACAUGCAAUAAGGUAAUUCACAAACAUAACUGGCUUUGCAUUUUUGCCACAAACUUCUCAUUCUUUGAAAACUGUCCAUACUUUUUUUUAAAGGGGGUUUGGAACUGGCACAAGCUCUUAGUAAAUGUGUGCCUUAAUGUUUCUAAUCAGAAAACACAACACAUCACUCAUACUCAUUAUCUAUGUGUAAUAUUUUGCCUGAACAAUCAUAGUCUUUGUUGGAGAGGUGGCUGGAGGAGGGAGAGCUUUGAUGGCUAAAGUCAGAGGAGAGGGUGUUUGCUUUUGAUAAGGAAAGCUGUGGGGGUGUUUUGUGAAACCUUUAUGAGGUCCAUCCCCCUGACCAUUGUGCGACCUAGAAAAAAACAACCCUAUUUAAGGAACAGGAAAACACAGCACAAUCGACUGGGUUUCCUAAGGGGCAGAUGAAUUACACACAAGAUUGCAGACUGGAGCGUAGAAGAGGCUCAAAAUUUAAUAACAAUGUAACAAGAUGAGUUUAUUACACAGUGGCCCCGAGAAGUAUUUGAACCAUUAAGCCACAGACUAAAUAUCAUUUUAUGAAUUCCAUUGAAUUAAAUUAGGCUGGGGCUUUUCUCAGAACCAAUGUGAUUUUUCUUGUCAUUGCCAUUUUGCAAUUAUUUUAACCACCUGAUCCCUGGGCCAUGUUUGUGUAUGUAUGAAGUCAUUUCUCCCCAUGAGCUCACUGUGUAACCCCAGGUGUGGUUUAUUGUUUAGUAUAUACAGCAAUCAUGCUGUUUAAAAGUGUGCAGUCGGAAGAUACAUUUUUAUAAUCAUUUCUUUUUCUCAGAAUAAAUAAUAAAAAGACUGUAGAAUAAUACAUUUCUGUUAUGAACGCUCUCUGGAUUUAGUAUGGUAAUGAAUAUUUAUAUGGCAAUGUUGAUGUGUUUAGUCUUAGAUCUGCUAUUAUAUGGCAGAGCAACAGAGACCUGCUACUGCCAGUAUAUACACAGACAUAUCAUCUGAAAAUAUAACGCUGCUCCUGUAAACAUAAUUUAUGUAACCCCCAUAGCAGAUCCAACACUGGUGGAGCUGGGGUGGAGGAGGGUCUCUGUAAACGUGCUGCAGCUUAACAGCGUAAUACAACAUGGAGCAUUUAUACUGAUGAGGAGCAAGCUCGUUGGCUUCCGAGGUGGAGGCAACCGAUGUCCUGCACCAUGUACUUAAUGACGCAGGAGCAGAUUAGGCGACCUAUCAGCCUGUGCGCUCAUAGAGUUUCAUGGCAGAAAUUUCUCUUACUGUAGAAUGUUUCAAAAUAUCCAUUCCAUUUCAAACUGAUUAUGUUCUUUUGAAUGUUUUUUGAAUCCAAAGAGGGAAUGGGGGCAUGUUCAACAAAAAUCAUUAUGCACCAUACAUUUAAAAUAAUUGUUAAUAAAUUCUUCAGCACCUGUCACAAUCAACUACAAUUCUGCCACCGUAUGAACUACAACUCCCUUCAGGCACCACAUACACACCUGUCCUAGUUCUCCAUUGAUUACACACACACAGCUGGGAGCUACUCAAGACUCAUUACAUGGACCCUAUCAGUGAUUAACCCUUGCCAAAGACUAUUGACCUUAUUCUAAAAUGCGGAAGUGCGCCUGUUUUUGCGAUUGUCUUAGAACUUCCGAUUCAGUCGCCU